UACGUAGGGGGCGAGCGUUGUCCGGAAUUAUUGGGCGUAAAGAGCGUGUAGGCGGUUCGGUAAGUCUGCCGUGAAAACCUGGGGCUCAACCCCGGGCGUGCGGUGGAUACUGCCGGGCUAGAGGGUGGUAGAGGCGAGUGGAAUUCCCGGUGUAGCGGUGAAAUGCGCAGAUAUCGGGAGGAACACCAGUAGCGAAGGCGGCUCGCUGGGCCGAUAUUGACGCUGAGGAGCGAAAGCGUGGGGAGCGAACAGG
rnacentral:rRNA from 1 species